UACAGAGGUCUCAAGCGUUUGUUCGGAUUCAUUGGGCGUAAAGGGUGCGUAGGCGGCGCGGUAAGUCGGGUGUGAAAUCUCGGGCUUAACUCCGAAACUGCAUUCGAUACUGCCGUGCUUGAGGACUGGAGAGGAGACUGGAAUUUACGGUGUAGCGGUGAAAUUCGUAGAUAUUCGCAAGAACACCAGUGGCGAAGGCGGCUCACUGGCCCGAUACUGACGCUGAGGCACGAAAGCGUGGGGAGCAAACAGGG
rnacentral:rRNA from 1 species